rnacentral:rRNA from 1 species
AUUGAACGCUGGCGGCAUGCCUUACACAUGCAAGUCGAACGGUAACGGGCCUUCGGGUGCCGACGAGUGGCGAACGGGUGAGUAAUGUAUCGGAACGUACCUUUCAGUGGGGGAUAACGUAGCGAAAGUUACGCUAAUACCGCAUAUUCUGUGAGCAGGAAAGCAGGGGAUCGCAAGACCUUGCGCUGAUUGAGCGGCCGAUAUCAGAUUAGCUAGUUGGUGAGGUAAAAGCUCACCAAGGCGACGAUCUGUAGCGGGUCUGAGAGGAUGAUCCGCCACACUGGAACGGAGACACGGUCCAGACUCCUACGGGAGGCAGCAGUGGGGAAUUUUGGACAAUGGGGGCAACCCUGAUCCAGCCAUGCCGCGUGAGUGAAGAAGGCCUUCGGGUUGUAAAGCUCUUUCGGCCGGGAAGAAAUCGUAUCAGCUAAUACCUGGUGCGGAUGACGGUACCGGCAUAAGAAGCACCGGCUAACUACGUGCCAGCCGCCGCCGUAAGAC